rnacentral:rRNA from 1 species
AUGCACCAGGAGGCGGAUCUUCUGGGCUCGCAUGUGUUGGUCGCGUGGCUGGACCAGGACCUGCGGGCAAGCAUGAAUGACAUCGCCGCUGCCAUCGUCUCCAAGCUCGGCAUGCUACCGGACGACAUCUCCAUCGUCAAACACUUCCCGGAGGCAUACCUCAUCAGGCCGAGCUGCUCCAUCGAAUACAUCGAGCCGGCCUCAAGGCUCAAGACGGACUGUGAGAUGAUGGCGGUCUGGGCGUGGACGGCGUCGCCGGCAAACAUCCCGCACGUCAACUGGGUGACCUUGCCAGCGCGCGUGGACGCCCAGCCGGCUUUCGGGCAGUGCGGCCUGGAGCGGCGGGUCAUCAUCCACCUAUCGAUCCACGAUGACCCAACUCAAGGCGCAAGGGUUGUCUCCAAGGGGUACGACUUCGUGAAGGGCAUCGUUGACGACGAGUGCCAGGCCCACGACCCACGGGACUACAUCUCCAGGCUGAACAACAGCCACCGGCGCGACCGGGACUACGACCAGGACAGGCGCCGCGACGACCGGGAUCACAGGGGCCGCGAUGCCUCUGCAAGCCGUGCCGCUGGAGGCUGGGCGCGGUCACAGCAUUGCAAGGCAUCCCUCACCACAUGCUGCCCGGUGUCACUCUCAAGAAGCCCUCACACCGCCUGUCUCGCCACCACUGUUGCCAACCUCCGUUCUGCCGACGUCACCCAGGCCCCAUGGGUUCGAGACCUCGCCAAUGCUACCCCUACCGUCCAGUGGGCCGGUGCGCCGCACCCCUCGCCCAUGCGAUGCCGUAGGGCUGAUGCUUCUGGUGUUGUUGGCCUGCAGUGCCUUGCACCGCUAUUUGAAGAUCGACAGGAGGCCAUCCUGCCCACCCGGCUCCAACCCCACCUCGGGCUCUUACAGCGCGCCGUAAAACAAUGGCCGGUGUCUCCAUCUCCAGGGUCGGUGGAACCCUCUCGAUGCACAAGACAAAGACGACCAAAACCGUCCCAAGGCCACGCCCGCGACUCGUGUGGCAGAAAUCCUGUGUGCCUUCAGGAAAUGAAGCUCGACAAUAUCGAUCAGUUCACGGGUGCUUUGUUGGGGGGCCAUAGGCUGCGUAGCUUCGCACAACGUCCAACAAAUGGCACCAGGGGUGGUAUCCUUCUUCUUUGGGAUGACCUAUUGGUGGAGAUGUCCAGCAUCACCAUCACCACCUUCUGCCUCUCGGCCAUGGUCCAUGUCAGAGACUCGGGCGUUAGCUUCAAGAUAACCACCAUCUAUGGCCCCACCGACCACUCACUCAAAGAUGUGUUCUUUGUCGAGCUCAUUGGCCAAAAGCCACCUGCUGGGGUGGCUUGGCUCGCCUCUGUGGAUUUCAACCAGAUUUACCGGGCUAGGGAUAAAAACAAGAGGAACGUGAACUGCAGCCGUAUAAAUCAGUUUCGUGCAACUCUCAAUAGUUGUGAGCUCAAAGAAAUCCACCUUCAGAAUAGGAGAUUCACAUGGAGCAAUGAGAGGUCUAACCCUACCCUAUGCAAGCUGGAUUCUUUCUUUUGCAACGCGGAGUGGGACACGACAUUCAACGACCACGUGUUACAUGCGCUCUCCUCAUCCCUCUCCGACCACUUCCCACUUCUGCUUGCCGAGGAUAAGGGACCAAGGAGGCCUAGGACCUUCAAAUUCGAGAACUUUUGGGCUUCUAUGCCCGACUUCUGUGAUGUGGUCCACAAGGCAUGGGCCGAGCCAAUUGAGCAUACCGACCCAUACAUGAUGCUCUUCCACAAGCUCAAGAAAACGGCAACGCACCUCAGAGAAUGGAGUAGAUGCCUCUUCUCUAAAGCCAAGAUCCACCUCCAUGCCGCCCUCUUGGUGAUCCUCUGCCUCGACAUUGCUCAAGAGGGAAGGCCGCUCUCCCCUGGGGAGCACGAUCUUUGA